rnacentral:rRNA from 1 species
GAUGAACGCUGGCGGCGUGCCUAAUACAUGCAAGUCGAGCGAACGGACGAGAAGCUUGCUUCUCUGAUGUUAGCGGCGGACGGGGGAGUAACACGUGGAUAACCUACCUAUAAGACUGGGAUAACUUCGGGAAACCGGAGCUAAAACCGGAUAAUAUUUUGAACCGCAUGGUUCAAAAGUGAAAGACGGUCUUGCUGUCACUUAUAGAUGGAUCCGCGCUGCAUUAGCUAGUUGGUAAGGUAACGGCUUACCAAGGCAACGAUGCAUAGCCGACCUGAGAGGGUGAUCGGCCACACUGGAACUGAGACACGGUCCAGACUCCUACGGGAGGCAGCAGUAGGGAAUCUUCCGCAAUGGGCGAAAGCCUGACGGAGCAACGCCGCGUGAGUGAUGAAGGUCUUCGGAUCGUAAAACUCUGUUAUUAGGGAAGAACAUAUGUGUAAGUAACUGUGCACAUCUUGACGGUACCUAAUCAGAAAGCCACGGCUAACUACGUG